UACGAAGGGGGCUAGCGUUGUUCGGAAUUACUGGGCGUAAAGCGCACGUAGGCGGAUAUUUAAGUCAGGGGUGAAAUCCCAGAGCUCAACUCUGGAACUGCCUUUGAUACUGGGUAUCUCGAGUAUGGAAGAGGUGAGUGGAAUUCCGAGUGUAGAGGUGAAAUUCGUAGAUAUUCGGAGGAACACCAGUGGCGAGGGCGGCUCACUGGUCCAUUACUGACGCUGAGGUGCGAAAGCGUGGGGAGCAAACAGG
rnacentral:rRNA from 1 species